GCUGAUUUGGCCGAGUGGUCUAAGGCGGUGGUUUUAAGAUGACCCAUCAUCACCAUUAUCGAGAGAUGCGUGAGUUCGAACCUCACAGUCAGCA
rnacentral:tRNA from 2 species